UACGGAGGGGGCUAGCGUUGUUCGGAAUCACUGGGCGUAAAGCGCACGUAGGCGGAUUCGUAAGUCAGGGGUGAAAUCCCGGGGCUCAACCUCGGAACUGCCUUUGAUACUGCGGGUCUUGAGUCCGAUAGAGGUGGGUGGAAUUCCUAGUGUAGAGGUGAAAUUCGUAGAUAUUAGGAAGAACACCGGUGGCGAAGGCGGCCCACUGGAUCGGUACUGACGCUGAGGUGCGAAAGCGUGGGGAGCAAACAGG
rnacentral:rRNA from 1 species